GACCCAGUGGUGCAACGGGCAGCAUAUCUGCAUAUUAUAAUGUGUCUUAGUUUCCGCGGGAGACCCUCGUUCGACUCGGGGUUGGGUCA